UCACAAUAUGGGCCCGUUGGAGCUUUUGCAUAGACACAUUCAGAACUUGAAGGUGUCUACCGUUGGUGUUGGUGUCAUGGGCUACAUUGGAAACAAGAUUUCAAGAGUCUGUCGGAUUGGCGGAUUGCUAUAUAAAUUUUAUUUUUUGUUGUUUGUGAAAACAAGAGUUUUUUGGAGGUAAUAGAAUCUCUUGGACUUAUAUUAUGUGAUUGGCUAGACUUUGUUUAUAAUAAUAAUAAAAAAUGACUCGGAUUUGAAAACUUUCAUUUUGUAGCAGAGUUUUGUUGUUUGAGAAGUCAAAAUGGAGUCUACGAUUUAUAUUCUACUGCUGUUUCACUCCUUAACUUGGGCCUUGUAUUUUACCCUCAAAUGGCUGGUGUUGUGGUCUCUCUCUCACGUUCCUCCAUUCUUGCAAGGCGGAAAAUAUGCAUUGUGAUUGAAGCUCGAGUAUUUGGCGAUUGGAAAGAGAAAUUUCACCAGCAAAGGAUGCCAUUGAAGCUCCUGCAGUAACUGAUCUCCAAUGCAUAGAGGUUCUGUUUAAUAGCUGAUCAUUGCCUUUUUCAAUUGUUUUGUUGCAUAGUUGUUUGUUUUGACGAAGUUUACAGUUUACAGCAAUCAAUUAUGACAACAUACUCGAGGCAUUUAAUUGAUCAUGAAUUAAUUUUCCUUUGGUGUGAUUCAUUCCACAGAUCUGCCCUGUUUGUGGUCAUUAGGUUCUCUUUUUAUUUAUUUAUUUAUUUUUUAUUUUUAUUUUGGGUGGGGGGUUUGAACUCCAGACCUUCAUUUUGGAGACUGGGGGUUAUGCCAACCAGGUCACAGGCCUUUGACGGUCAUUAGGCUCUCUUGUCAUUGGCCAAAUCUCAAAUAAUCGAAAUAUAAUUGAACUUGUUAUAUAUAAAGUAGCAUCAUAUUACUCUUAUAAUUCAUGGAUGAUCGAUUUUGCCCCCGGAGGGGCAGAGAUUUGCAGUGAUUCUACAAGAAGAUUGACAUCAAUAUUUCUUUAUUCGAUGCAGAGCUAGCUCUUAAAAAAUCGUUGGAAAGGAAUUGACAAUGGACUAUUUGGCUGCGUCUCUCUUCUCUCACUUGAAGUUGCUAUUUGGUGUGAGAUUAAAUCACUGAUGGAAGACCCUGUUACUGAUUUUGUAACUCAUUUAUUGUAAUUGUGUUUUGUAAUGUAAUUUAUAAAUACCAAAUAAUGUAUUUUUUAGUGGAUUGCAUUAUGUGUUGCA